rnacentral:rRNA from 1 species
GUAACAGGAAACAGCUUGCUGUUUCGCUGACGAGUGGCGGACGGGCGAGUAAUGUCUGGGAAACUGCCUGAUGGAGGGGGAUAACUACUGGAAACGGUAGCUAAUACCGCAUAACGUCGCAAGACCAAAGAGGGGGACCCUCGGGCCUCUUGCCAUCGGAUGUGCCCAGAUGGGAUUAGCUUGUUGGUGGGGUAACGGCUCACCGAGGCGACGAUCCCUAGCUGGUCUGAGAGGAUGACCAGCCACACUGGAACUGAGACACGGUCCAGACUCCUACGGGAGGCAGCAGUGGGGAAUAUUGCACAAUGGGCGCAAGCCUGAUGCAGCCAUGCCGCGUGUAUGAAGAAGGCCUUCGGGUUGUAAAGUACUUUCAGCGGGGAGGAAGGGAGUAAAGUUAAUACCUUUGCUCAUUGACGUUACCCGCAGAAGAAGCACCGGCUAACUCCGUGCCAGCAGCCGCGGUAAUACGGAGGGUGCAAGCGUUAAUCGGAAUUACUGGGCGUAAAGCGCACGCAGGCGGUUUGUUAAGUCAGAUGUGAAAUCCCCGGGCUCAACCUGGGAACUGCAUCUGAUACUGGCAAGCUUGAGUCUCGUAGAGGGGGGUAGAAUUCCAGGUGUAGCGGUGAAAUGCGUAGAGAUCUGGAGGAAUACCGGUGGCGAAGGCGGCCCCCUGGACGGAGACUGACGCUCAGGUGCGAAAGCGUGGGGAGCAAACAGG